AUAACACGGGGAGGGGUGUCGGGUGGAUACGGAGGAGGCAAGCGUGUUCCGGAAUUAAUGGGCGUAAAGAGUUGGGGAGGUGGCAUCGUAAGUCAGUAGUGAAAUCCUGGGGCUCAACCCCUGACACAGUAUCGAAACUGCGAAGCGAGAGGACGAGAGAGGUACCUGGAAUUCCUAGUGUAGGAGUGAAAUCCGUAGAUAUUAGGAGGAACACCGAUGGCGUAGGCAGGGUACUGGCUUGUUCCUGACACUAAGGCACGAAAGCGUGGGGAGCAAACGGGAUUAGAUACCCGUGUAGUC
rnacentral:rRNA from 1 species